AUAAAUAAUGGCGGAGCGGGCAAGAAAGAAAGCCAUGGCGGCGGCGGCGACAGAGCUAAUACCAAUACCACCCCUGCUCAUCAUCUUGCUCCUCCAUGCGAGCAUUCUCUACGUACCUCGCGCGGGCGCCGCGGCGCGUCACGGCGGCGGCGGCGGGGGCGUGCGUUAUGUACGUACCCAGCAGGAGUCAGCAGCACAGGACCUCCUCCGAUGGAAGUCGAUCCUGCGAAGCUCGCCGCGGGCGCUGGGCUCGUGGCAGCCGGGAACCAGCCCAUGCAGCAGCAACUGGACGGGCGUCGAGUGCAGCGCCGUGGUGCGCCGCGGCCACCGUGGCCCCACUGGUGGGCUGGUGGUGACCGCCGUCUCCCUGCCGAAUGCCAGCAUCGACGGCCACCUCGAUUUUAAGGCCUGUGUUGCUGACUUUGGCACAGCAAGGAUUAUAAAACCUGAUUCAUCGAACUGGAGUGAACUAGCAGGGACAUAUGGUUAUAUAGCCCCAGAGCUUUCAUACACAUCAGUUGUGACGACGAGAUGCGACGUCUAUAGUUUCGGUGUGGUUGUGCUAGAGAUUGUGAUGGGGAGAUAUCCUAGGGAGUUGCAGUCCCUUGGUUCCAGAGGAGAGCGUGGUCAGCUUGCGAUGGAUUUCUUGGACCAGCGCCCAUCAUCUCCAACAAUUGCAGAGAAGAAAGAAAUUGAUCUACUCAUCGAAGUGGCAUUUGCUUGCAUAGAAACUUCUCCUCAGUCAAGACCAGAAAUGCGACAUGUCUACCAGAAACUGGUUCACCAACAACCGUCAUCGCUUGCCUCACCCUCAAAUUCAAUUAAACUAGAACAAAUAACAGAUGGGGAAGUGUAGUGUAAAUUGUAUUGCAUCAAUGAUUAACAGUACCAUAUUUGAGAGGCUGAGGGUUCUAUUAGAAGACAUUGUGAAAAGUAUUAGUAAUAAAUAAAAGUCCUACAAAUUAGUAUCCAGACCCGUCCCUACAUCAUGCAUCGAAGAGAGAUAGAUCAUGCUAAAUUUCAUCAAUGCCGCUGGUAUGGUUCGACUUUGUUUCUGAAAAUAUGUUUACCAUGAUGACAGCAACGAUAAUUAGAGAAGUGAAUGGAUAGGAACAAAGAAAGGAAUACUGUAAAAAAUCA